ensembl:lncRNA
AUUUUAAUUUAUUCCCAUGAUGGGAAUGAAUUCAGCCGUCAUUACUCUAGUCUUCAGUUUCACAUUAUCCUUCAGAAAGCAUUCUAAUAUUCUGAUUUGAUGCUCAAGAAUCAUUUCUUAUUAUUAUCGAUUGUUGUUGAAAAAAAAAGUUGUGCUGCUGAAUAUUUUUGUGGAGACUUUAUGGGAGCUAUAUACUGUAUGUAACUCGAAGCUGCAAAAUUAUUUUAUUUUGUCCUGCUUUUAUGAACUGAUAACGUAGCACUGCCAGAGAACUUUUGUGGGUCUUGAGGGAUCUGAGUAGCCUGUUCAGCAGGUUUUGAAGACAAAUAAGAAGUAGAAAAUCAAUAAAAACAUUUCAUUGGGUUCGUAAUGAUUCUAACUAGUAUGCAAUGCAAAGGCAUUCUGGAUUAUUCUACAUCUCUGGCGAUGGAUCAACUCUGUAUUUGUAUUUAACACAUGUGUAUUGAUGAUAUCUGUCACCAGUUUCCAGCCCUGGUUUGAUCAUCAGUCCAGGAGUUCCGGGUCAGUGGCGACUCAGUGACUCAUGCUGCAUGAUGUAAUGGACCUACUUCUAGUGAUGACACUAAUGGUGUUCUGGAGAGCCUGGUGGAUCUGCAUGGUGAAUAGCCAGACAGACUGUUCAUUUGUGAGGAUUCACAUGAUGAGACAUCGGGGAUUGGGCUGUGUAGGAGAAAAGCACAGUUGUGGUUUUUUAAAAGAUUAACAUACAAUGAUGUGAUUUUCUUUCUUUUUUUUUUUUUUUUUUUUCAUUGUUUUUCUAUUAAAUCUGUUUACUUUAAGUUUACAUUCAAUUAAAUACAUUUUAUUUAAGAGGAAAUGCAUGUCAACCUUCUGUUAAGAAAUAAUAGCGUUUGUAUAAAAAAAAUAAGCUAUAUUUUUUAAAUGUGUUCUUUACUAGGUUUAUAUUUGUCAUUAAAUGAUCUGGAGCAGAUAACCUGACACUUACAUUAAUACUUAACACGAUAUUGCCUCCUAGUGGUCGUAGAAAUCUUAGCUUUUAGCUGCUGGGACUGUUAGACAUUACAUUUUUAUUGUUAUUACUUGGAAAUACUUGCUCCUUGCAGCCGAUUUUCAGGGGAUUUUUAUUUAUUUAUUUAUUUUUAUUAAGCACGGUUAUGAUGUUACAAUGUAAAAUAACUGUUUUAUAUUUUAGUAUAUAUUUUUAAAAUGUAAUUUAUCCCUGUGAUGGCAAAGAUGAAUUUUCAGCAUCAUUACUCCAGUCUUCAGUGUCACAUGAUUCUUCAGAAAUCAUUUUAAUAUGCUGAUUUGCUGCUCAAGAAACAUUUAUUAGUGGUAUCAUCAGUGAUGAAUAAAAUUGUGAAACUGAAACUUUUUUUUUUUUAA